CGCUGUCUUCUGUAUCUGCAUGCAGCCUGUGGCCUCAGGUGGGGAAGUGCUGCAAAGACCUAGAGUGGCAUCCAGCCAGUACCCUCUCAUGAGAAAGAAUCAAUUUGCAAGGUAUUGAGUAAACCCUCGGGCUCUGCCUUGGAGAGGUGACCACCCAUGAAAACAACUGACAUGAAAAGACCACAAGAUGAGCUGUCAUAUUUGUAAACUGGAAGGAGAAGGGCGUGAAGGUAGAGAGUGGCCGUGGAUGUAUUUUCAACUUGUCUGUGGAGACAGGCAUCUCCCAUUCAGCAGGAUGGUCUUUGCGUCUGGCUGACCUAUAGACAGAAUGUGUCUCUUGCAUUUUCCGACCCAAGCUGUUAAACCAGCACAGCUCAGUGCUAUGGCAUGCUGUCUUACUGGUAAGUUGGGGAUUUCUGCACUGUGCCCUCUGUAGACAUAAGUCAUAAGUGUCUUGGCUAAGAUCAUAUGGGUAGUGUGUGAUUGGAAGGAAAAUUAAACACAGGCUUAAUCUUUGGUGAUAAUCACAAAACAUUCCUUGCUGUUGUUGACUUGAGUGAGAGCUGCAAAGUGUUUGUGUGGGGGAGAUAAUUAAGUUCCUAAUGUUUAUAAAAUAUCCAAUCUGUUUUAUAUAAAAAGGAUUCUAUGAUGACCAAGU